rnacentral:rRNA from 1 species
UGCAAGCGAAGUAGUCGCAGGGUUGGAAAAUCCGCCCUGCAUGAGACGAAGGCGUGAUGCGGGGCGAAAUGAAGUAGUGAAGCUGCAGCCCCUUCCUGUCGAGAAAAGCCGCUAUCGUGUAGCAAGGGCCCGUACCGUAAACCGACACAGGUGGAUGAGGAGAGGAUCCUAAGGCCGGCGGGAGAAGUGUUGUUAAGGAACUCGGCAAAAUGACUCCGUAACUUCGGGAGAAGGAGUGCUGCGCAAGCAGCCGCAGAGAAAUGGCCCAAGCAACUGUUUAGCAAAAACACAGGUCUAUGCGAAACCGAAAGGUGAGGUAUAUGGGCUGACGCCUGCCCGGUGCUGGAAGGUUAAGGGGAGAGCUUAGCGCGAGCGAAGGUUUGAACUUAAGCCCCAGUAAACGGCGGCCGUAACAAUAACGGUCCUAAGGUAGCGAAAUUCCUUGUCGGGUAAGUUCCGACCCGCACGAAAGGCGUAUGAUUUGGGCACUGUCUCAACAACACACCCGGUGAAAUUGAAAUACCAGUGAAGAUGCUGGUUACCCGCGCCAGGACGGAAAGACCCCAUGGAGCUUUACUCCAGCCUGAUACUGGGAUUCGGUAUUGCAUGUACAGGAUAGGUGGGAGGCUAAGAACUCAUGGCGCCAGCCGUGAGGGAGCCGGUGUUGGGAUACCACCCCUGCAGUACUGGGUUUCUAACCUGCGCCCGUGACCCGGGCGGGGGACAAUGUCAGGCGGGGAGUUUGACUGGGGCGGUCGCCUCCGAAAGGGUAUCGGAGGCGCUCAAAGGUCUCCUCAGGAUGGUUGGAAACCAUCCAGAGAGUGCAAAGGCAGAAGGAGGCUUGACUGCGACACCGACGGGUGGAGCAGGUACGAAAGUAGGACUUAGUGAUCCGGUGGCAUAAAGUGGGAUUGCCAUCGCUCAACGGAUAAAAGCUACCCUGGGAUAACAGGCUUAUCACUCCCAAGAGUUCACAUCGACGGAGUGGUUUGGCACCUCGAUGUCGGCUCAUCGCAUCCUGGAGCUGGAGCAGGUUCCAAGGGUUGGGCUGUUCGCCCAUUAAAGCGGUACGCGAGCUGGGUUCAGAACGUCGUGAGACAGUUCGGUCCCUAUCCGGCGCGGGCGCAGGAUAUCUGAGAGGAGCUGUCCUUAGUACGAGAGGACCGGGAUGGACCGUCCGCUGGUGGACCGGUUGUCAUGCCAAUGGCACGGCCGGGUAGCCAAGACGGGAAGGGAUAAACGCUGAAGGCAUCUAAGCGUGAAGCCCCCCUCAAGAUGAGAUAUCCAUACUCGAAAGAGUGAGAGACCCCUUAGAGACGAUGAGGUAGAUAGGGCAGAGAUGGAAGUGCAGCGAUGCAUGGAGUUGACUGUUACUAAUCGGUCGAAAGCUUGACC